AUAAAGGUUGCUAAAACUGCUCACAAACAUCAAACACUGGCUGAAAAGAGACACAGAAAACAAAAGAAACUAACUCGGCAGGAUAUCGCAUCCUGGGCCUACGUAGUCUGUCAGGCACAGACAUCAGAGUCGACGUAGUUCGGGACAGGGGGAAACGUGCUCGCUAGGAUGUCGCAUCCUAUGCAUACGUAUCUUCUCGGACUAGAGAAGAAUCA
rnacentral:lncRNA from 1 species